rnacentral:rRNA from 1 species
AACGAACGCUGGCGGCAGGCUUAACACAUGCAAGUCGAGCGCCCCGCAAGGGGAGCGGCAGACGGGUGAGUAACGCGUGGGAAUCUACCCAUCUCUACGGAACAACUCCGGGAAACUGGAGCUAAUACCGUAUACGUCCGUAAGGAGAAAGAUUUAUCGGAGAUGGAUGAGCCCGCGUUGGAUUAGCUAGUUGGUGGGGUAAAGGCCUACCAAGGCGACGAUCCAUAGCUGGUCUGAGAGGAUGAUCAGCCACACUGGGACUGAGACACGGCCCAGACUCCUACGGGAGGCAGCAGUGGGGAAUAUUGGACAAUGGGCGCAAGCCUGAUCCAGCCAUGCCGCGUGAGUGAUGAAGGCCCUAGGGUUGUAAAGCUCUUUCAACGGUGAAGAUAAUGACGGUAACCGUAGAAGAAGCCCCGGCUAACUUCGUGCCAGCAGCCGCAGUAAUAC